CUCGUUUUCAACGCUAAUCUUUUAUGGACCCGACAGAUGUCAGACCUGUCUAUUUUGUUGAAUGAGGCCGUCAUUUGCAAUCAUGCUGUACACGGGGAUAUUCCUGUCGAUUCUCUGUCUACACCAAACAUAUGGGGCACAGAAGCGACAGUUCACUCCAGGAGGUCUAGGGGGCGCGUCCUUCAAUGCCAACGAGCUGAACGCUAACCUUAUGGGAAGCUUCAAUCCAGGCGCCAUGAAUGGUGGAAUGGGAAACUUCGGUUCCGGCGGCUUUGGAAUGACCGGAAGUGGUACAUCCGGAACCGGUGGAACUGGAGGAACAGGGUCGUCUAGCGGGUUUGGAAUGACGGGUGGGACCAGCAGCGGCUUUGGGAAUUUCGGUUCUGGUGGAACUGGUAGCGGAUCUUCUUCUGGUAUGAGUGGGGGCAGCACAUCAGGUAUGGCAGGCGGGUCGAGCGGAUCCGGAAGCAGCAGUACAGGCGGGACUUCGACUAGUGGAGGUUCUGCAUUGAAUACAAAUGGAGGACAAGAUUUUGGUAACAGCGGCUUCGGUGCUAGUGGCAGCACAUUCGGGUCUGGGACGACAGGCUUUGGCGGAGCAAACGGUUCAAGUUCAACAUCAAACUGGGAUGGUCACUAUACCGAUCCAAACAGUGGCGGUGGAAGCAGUAGUGGUGGCGGUCUUGCUGGGGCCGUUUCCGGUUUGACUGGGGGAGGCAGUGGUGGAUUGACGAGCGCUUUGGGCGGAGGCGGAAGUACUGGAGGCACUAGCGCCGGAAGUGGUGGCUCGAGUACCGGUACCGCUGGUUCAGGGUUUGGCGAUGCAUCAGGUUUUGGGGGAUCGUUUGGAGGCUCCAGUUCAGGUUUUGGUGGUGACUUUGGAUCUGGAAACGCAUUUGGUGGCAAUUUUGGAUCCGGUUCCGGUUCUUCUGGUGCUGGUUUCGGAGGAACAACUAGCGGUUCGGGGACAGGAAGUACAGGAUCAACUUCCGGUGCAGGGUCGAGUUUGCUCACCGGUGGCGGCAGUUCAGGCGGCGGGAUAGGCGGGGCAAUAAGUGGCGCUCUUGGUGGCGGAACCGGCGGCAGCGGAAAGUACGGCCGAAAGUCUUACUCCGGGCGGGUUUGGCGGCUCGAACGCCACGACGGACGGAUUUGGCGGAACAUUCGGCAGCACCAUGGGAGGUCAGAGCGCCAGCGGCCAGCAGCAGUUUGGGAUGGGAGGCGACGGUCAGGCCGGUCAGUUCUAUGGCAACCAAAAUGGCGGUACAGGCGGCACAGGCGGUCAAGUCGCGUCCGCUAUAGGGUCGGUUGUUGGUGGCGGCAGCGGAAGCGGAAGUGGUCAGGCCAAUAUCGAUCCCAUGAAGUCUGGAGUCCUGAACGUAGGCGGCGGUGACAUGGUUAACAACCAGGGAGGAUUCGACAAGGAGACCGGAAGUUACAAGCCCGCCGCCGGCUCGCAACCCACUUCCGGGAAGUACAACAACGCCGGUUUCACUCCGGACCAAAUCGAUGGAUGGAAAGGUCGUGACGGCGAC